rnacentral:rRNA from 1 species
CUUACGGAGAGUUUGAUCCUGGCUCAGAGUGAACGCUGGCGGCAUGCCUAACACAUGCAAGUCGAACGAUCUUUGGCAGUAUAUCGUCAGAGGUAGUGGCAAACGGGUGAGUAAUACGUGGACAAUCUUCCCUCGAGCGGGGGAUAACUCCGGGAAACCGGAGCUAAUACCGCGUGAGACCACGUCCUGGCAUCAGGAUGGGGUUAAAGCUCCGCAAGGGGCGCUUGAGGAGGGGUUCACGGCCUAUCAGCUAGUUGGCGGGGUUAAAGCCCACCAAGGCGACGACGGGUAACCGGUCUGAAAGGACGACCGGUCACAAUGGCACUGA